UACAGAGGUGGCAAGCGUUGUUCGGAAUGACUGGGCGUAAAGGGCGCGUAGGCGGCCAUCUAAGUCAGACGUGAAAUCCCCCGGCUUAACCUGGGAACUGCGUCUGAUACUGGACGGCUUGAGUAUGGGAGAGGGAUGUAGAAUUCCAGGUGUAGCGGUGAAAUGCGUAGAUAUCUGGAGGAAGACCGGUGGCGAAGGCGGUCUGCUGGGCAGUUUCUGACACUGAUGCGCGACAGCGUGGGGAGCAAACAGG
rnacentral:rRNA from 1 species